CCCUUAGAUGUUCUGGGCUGCACGCGUGCUACACUGAUAUUGCCAAUAUGUCAUUCUUAUCCGAAAUGGAUUGGGUAAUCAAGUAAUGAAAUUUCAUGCUUGGAAUCGGUAAUUGCAAUUUUAUCGUGAACGAGGAAUUCCUAGUAAGCACUGGUCAUCAGCUAAUGUUGAUUAUGUCCCUGCCCUUUGUACACACCGCCCGUCGCUACUACUGAUUGGGUGUUCAAGUGAGAUGCUUAGACCCUUGUUGCAUGGUUCAUUAUUGUGCUCCGAAAGGAAAAAGUUUCAAGCUUGAGUGUCUAGAGGAAGUAAAAGUCGUAACA
rnacentral:rRNA from 1 species